rnacentral:rRNA from 1 species
UCCCUUAGUAGCGGCGAGCGAACAGGGAGGAGCCCAGCGCCGAAUCCCGCGCCCCCUGCGGGCGUAGGGAAAUGUGGCGUUUAGGAGUAGUGUUCCCCGCGGCAAGUUCCGGUGCAAGUCCUCGUGACUGGGGCUCUUACCCGGAGAGGGUGCAAGGCCCAUAGCUGCCGGAUUCCGCCGCGGGAAGCGAACUCCUUUGAGUCGGGUUGCUUGAGAGUGCAAUCCUAAGUGGGUGGUAAACUCCAUCUAAGGCUAAAUACUGCCCCGAGACCGAUAGCGAACAAGUACCGUGAGGGAAAGUUGAAAAGAACUUUGAAGAGAGAGUUCAAGAGUACGUGAAACCGCAUAGAGGUAAACGGAUGGAACCUCGAAGGUGCACGUCGGGGGGAUUCAGUCAGACGUCCGUCGGGGAGACGGUGGGUGUUUGGACCCUCUGCGAGGGCCACGCCUCCGUAGCGGACCCGGGACCGUCUGGCGCAUUUCCUCCCGUUCGAGCUACGUCGCGACCGGUUGGGUUACUGAAAGUCUCCGCCGUAAGUGCGGGCGACGGAAGGUGACCGGCUGCUGACUCACGUCGGCGGCCGGUGUUAUAUCCUGUCCGCAUGGACGAGAUCGCCCGACCGGGGAAAAUACCUCAAAGGCCCGAAAGGGCCAGGCCGUGCCCACCCGACUCUGUUCGGGGAGCGGAGUCGUGGAUCCCAGGCGUCACCCUGCUCGUCCCGCCACAGACCUGGUCUGUGCGGGCCUGCGGGUGCGCCGUUCGGGAUCUUCCGCCCGCCACGGGUGCCAAAGGUUGCGGCGAGUAGGUCGGUCACCCAUCCGACCCGUCUUGAAACACGGACCAAGGAGUCCAACAUGUGCGCGAGUCAUUGGGACUUGUUCAGGCCCACAGGCGAAAUGAAAGUGAAGGCCUUCCGUUCGCGGUCGGCCGAGCUGGGAUCCCUCUCCCUAACAGGUGGGGGCGCACCAGCGGCCCGAUCCAAUGCCGCCACGUCGGCGGGUCGGAGCUUGAGCGCACACGUUGGGACCCGAAAGAUGGUGAACUAUGCCUGGGCAGGACGAAGCCAGAGGAAACUCUGGUGGAGGUCCGCAGCGAUUCUGACGUGCAAAUCGAUCGUCAGACCUGGGUAUAGGGGCGAAAGACUAAUC